UACAGAGGGGGCAAGCGUUGUUCGGAAUUACUGGGCGUAAAGGGCGCGUAGGCGGCCUUCUAAGUCAUGCGUGAAAUCCCCGGGCUCAACCCGGGAACUGCGUCUGAUACUGGAAGGCUUGAAUCCGGGAGAGGGAUGCGGAAUUCCAGGUGUAGCAGUGAAAUGCGUAGAUAUCGUGAGGAACACCAGAGGCGAAGGCGGCUACCUGGACAAUUGCUGACGCUCAGGCACGAAAGCGUGGGGAGCAAAAGGG
rnacentral:rRNA from 1 species